CAAGGUCUCUCCCUCCCUGUGGUCACAGCUCCGCUCCACUAACCACUUCCUUAGAAGUUUUUAAUCACAGGAGAUCCCAUCUGUCAACUGUUGGCCGGACUUCCCAAGUGACUGGGAUUCUAUUGAAAAGAGUCUUUGCCAGCGCCCAGGCCCUGAAGUUUGACUUCAGCCUCUGUCCAUCUUAGGAUUUACGCGAGGCCACCUGUCCCUAACUCUCUUGGAUAUGAUCUGGAAUGUGACCUUGCCCCUGAACGUUCCUCCCGAGCAGUUCCUCCCAAGCAGUUGCUGACCUGGCGUUAAAACGAUCCCUCUGCGCCUCCCGGGUGAGAGCUGAUUGGCCGGCCUGACCUCCUCUUUCGGCUAGCCUGCAUUAGCUUGACUACUGUGAAGCCUCCCGGAGCCGUGGCCUGGACAUCCCUGGCUGGGCUCAGCAGUUCAAGGCAGCCUUCCGCUCAACGUGACUGGUUGCGAGUGGCUGCACGUGGUAAGGAGCACUCUCUUCAAGAUGCUGGGAGGAUGGAGGCUGACACCCCAACAGGAUGCUGGUCAUCUCUGCUCCUGGGAGCACCUGAGCUUGGGAUGCACAGGACACCUCCUAAAGAGACCUCUCGUGUCCAACGGUUAACAGUAGAAGAGAAGGGGCACUGGGGUUAAGCAAAGUGCAGAAUUUUUUUUUUCUAAAGCGACUACAUAAAACCCAUCAUCCUCAAAAAUGCUUUAAAAUGGCAUCUUUAGGUUUAGGAGCAAGGCAGGGGUCUCCAGUCCCUCCCUGCUCCCCUACCCCCACCCCUGCUCUCACCUCUCAGAGAUGGAUGCCUGGCACCAAGUGGCUUCAUCCAAACUCUGGUACCAGUAGCUCCUCAGAGCUAGGUUCUGGGCUUCAGGCUGUGUUCUUGAUUCACGGAAUCGACUUUGUCUGAAGCCUUGACACAAUGUAUUCAGUGAGCAGGAAGAGGGAGCAGGGGAGGAGCCUUGGGCACAGACAGACUCCAGUGAAGAUGGGGUCCUCCACAUCACAGACAUGGAUGUGGCUAACCAUCUACUUUGGCUUCUGUUUUCUGUGGAAAUGUGGGAGGCUGUGUGUCCAACUGAGGCCUCUUGUCAUAAAUAUCACCGGAGUCUUCUGGGAACCACUCGACUUCCAUUCUCUUUGGUAACUGUGUGUACAUUCACCGCCAUUGACAAAGGUGCUGGGCCAUUGACAAACUGUUUCUAAGUAGCCAAUACUAACCCAGGCUUCCCCGAGUUUGGGGCAAUCACAGCAGGCUGCAGUGA